GGGGAAUCUUCCGCAAUGGGCGAAAGCCUGACGGAGCAACGCCGCGUGAGUGAAGACGGCCUUCGGGUUGUAAAGCUCUGUUAUACGGGACGAAUAGUCUUGUGGUUAAUACCCAUAAGAAGUGACGGUACCGUAAGAGAAAGCCACGGCUAACUACGUGCCAGCAGCCGCGGUAAUACGUAGGUGGCAAGCGUUGUCCGGAAUUAUUGGGCGUAAAGGGCGCGCAGGCGGCUUCUUAAGUCUGUCUUAAAAGUGCGGGGCUUAACCCCGUGAUGGGAUGGAAACUGGGAAGCUCAGAGUAUCGGAGAGGAAAGCGGAAUUCCUAGCGUAGCGGUGAAAUGCGUAGAUAUUAGGAGGAACACCAGUGGCGAAAGCGGCUUUCUGGACGAAAACUGACGCUGAGGCGCGAAAGCCAGGGGAGCGAACGGGAUUAGAUACCCCGGUAGUCCUGGCCGUAAACGAUGGGUACUAGGUGUAGGAGGUAUCGACCCCUUCUGUGCCGGAGUUAACGCAAUAAGUACCCCGCCUGGGGAGUACGGCCGCAAGGUUG
rnacentral:rRNA from 1 species